UCUUUGGAUGAACUGUGGAUAGGGGUGAAAGGCCAAUCAAACUUGGAAAUAUCUUGUUCUCUCCGAAAUAACUUUUGGGUUAGCCUCAAGUAUUAAUGAUAUGGGGGUAGAGCACUGGAUUCACGCGGGGGUCUACCGACCUACCAAAGGGAACCAAACUCCGAAUACCAUAUCAAAGCUUGGGAGAUAGACAGUGGGGGAUAAGCUUCAUUGUCGAGAGGGGAACAGCCCAGACCGUCAACUAAGGUCCCUAAUUCUACGCUAAGUGAGAAAGGAAGUAAAGUUUCUUAGACAGUUGGAAUGUUGGCUUAGAGGCAGCCAUCAUUUAAAGAGUGCGUAACAGCUCACCAAUCGAGAGACUUUGCGCCGAUAAUAUGCGGGACUAAGUGUAGAACCGAAGUUACGGGUUCAGUGUAUACUGAGCGGUAGGAGAGCGUAGUUUAUGCGCCGAAGGCAUACCGGAAGGAGUGCUGGAGCGUAAACUAGUGAUGAUGCAUGGCAUAAGUAACGAUUAAGGGGGUGAGAAUCCCCCUCGCCGAAUGCCGAAGGUUUCCAGGGUAAAGGUCGUCUUCCCUGGGUUAGUCGGCCCCUAAGUCGAGGUAGAAAUACGUAGACGAUGGGAAGCAGGUUAAAUAUUCCUGCACCACCUAAAACGAUAGCAAUGGAAUGACGGAGUACGUUAAGCAUGGGGACCAUUGGAAGUGUCCCUAAGACUAUGAGAAAGGCUGGCAGGCAAAUCCACCGGCGUAAUUUCAGGUAGUCUUCAAGUGGAGCCCUCGGGUGAAGCGAUGGUGUAGCGCAAUGCUUCCAAGAAAUAGUUUCUAGCUGUUGAUGGUGACCGUACCAAAACCGACACAGGUUGGCAGGAUGAGUAUUCUCAGGCGCGCGAGUGAACUCUCGUUAAGGAACUCGGCAAAUUAUCCUCGUAACUUCGGGAGAAGAGGAGCCACAGAUGGUGAUUACCCUUGCGGUAUGAGCUGUAGGUGGCCGCAGAGAAAUGGCCCAGGCGACUGUUUACCAAAAACACAGCACUAUGCAAAGCCUAAACGGCGAAGUAUAUGGUGUGAUGCCUGCCCAAUGCCAAAAGGUCAAAGGGAGGGGUUAGCUUUUGCGAAGCUCCGAACUCAAGCCCUGGUGAAUGGCGGCCGUAACUAUAACGGUCCUAAGGUAGCGAAAUUCCUUGUCGG
rnacentral:rRNA from 1 species